AGGAGAGGAGCCCAGCCCUGGGAUUCCCAGGUGUUUUCAUUUGUGAUCAGCACUGAACACAGAAGACUCAUCAUGGAGUUUGGCCUGACCUGGGUUUUCCUUGUUGCUAUUUUAAAAGGUGUCCAGGGUGAGGUGCAGCUGGUGGAGUCUGGGGGCGGCUUGGCAAAGCCUGGGGGGUCCCUGAGACUCUCCUGUGCAGCCUCUGGAUUCACCUUCAGUAGCUACUGGAUGUACUGGGUUCGCCAGGCACCAGGGAAGGGGCUGGAGUGGGUCUCAGCUAUUAAUAGUGGUGGUGGUAGCACAUACUAUGCAGACUCCGUGAAGGGCAGAUUCACCAUCUCCAGAGAGAACGCCAAGAACACACUGUAUCUUCAAAUGGACAGCCUGAGAGCUGAGGACACGGCUGUGUAUUACUGUGCGAGAGACACAGUGAGGGGAAGUCAGUGUGAGCCCAGACACAAACCUCCCUGCAGGGACGCGGGGGGAAAAUCAGCGGCAGGGGGCGCUCGGGACCCACUGAUCAGAGUCAACCCGGAAGCCGGUGCACACGGAGGCUGAUUUCCUGUCAGGAUGUGGCACGUCGUCUUUUUACAGUUCCUCUAGUGAACCUCUCUGAGUUCAGAAUUAUCUGA